GAUGAACGCUAGCGGGAGGCUUAAUACAUGCAAGUCGAGCGGUAACUGACCGAUAGCAAUAUUGGUUAGCUAGAGCGGCGCACGGGUGAGUAACGCGUACAUAACCUACCCUAUACUGGGGGAUAGCCUUGGGAAACUGAGAUUAAUACCCCAUGGUAUUAUUUGGCCACCUGGUUGAAUAAUUAAAGUUGCGGCGGUAUAGGAUGGGUGUGCGUCUGAUUAGCUAGUUGGUAGGGUAACGGCCUACCAAGGCGAUGAUCAGUAGGGGGCCUGAGAGGGUGACCCCCCACAUUGGCACUGACACACGGGCCAAACUCCUACGGGAGGCAGCAGUGAGGAAUAUUGCUCAAUGGGCGAAAGCCUGAAGCAGCAACGCCGCGUGCGCGAUGAAGGUCUUCGGAUCGUAAAGCUCUGUCCUCAAGGAAGAUAAUGACGGUACUUGAGGAGGAAGCCCCGGCUAACUACGUGCCAGCAGCCGCGGUAAGUGA
rnacentral:rRNA from 1 species